rnacentral:rRNA from 1 species
GAGGGUGCAAGCGUUAUCCGGAUUCACUGGGUUUAAAGGGUGCGUAGGUGGGCAGGUAAGUCAGUGGUGAAAUCUCCGGGCUUAACCCGGAAACUGCCAUUGAUACUAUCUGUCUUGAAUACCCUGGAGGUGAGCGGAAUAUGUCAUGUAGCGGUGAAAUGCUUAGAUAUGACAUAGAACACCCAUUGCGAAGGCGGCUCACUACGGGAAUAUUGACACUGAGGCACGAAAGCGUGGGGAUCAAACAGGAUUAGAUACCCUGGUAGUCCACGCCCUAAACUAUGGAUACUCGACAUCAGCGAUAAACUGUUGGUGUCUGAGCGAAAGCAUUAAGUAUCCCACCUGGGAAGUACGAUCGCAAGAUUG